rnacentral:lncRNA from 1 species
CAAAGGGACUCAUAUGUCCACCUUAAGAUUGGAAUGUUAUAGUUCCUUUUAAGGACAAACCCGCGAAGAGGCCAACUUAAGAUGCAAAGGCACUUAUAUGUCCACCUUAAGAUUGGAAGAGUUAUAUGUCCAUAGAAUAUGGCUUGAUCAUCAGAGAGAUUACUCUCAAAAUGGCCCGACUAUCGGAGAGAUUACUCUCAAUGUGGCUUGACUAUCGGAGAGAUUACUCUCAAAAUGGCCCAACUUUUCGGCAAGGCCAACUUAAGGUGAAAAUGGACUUAUAUGUCCACCUUAAGAUUGGAAAGUUAUAGUUCUUUUUAAGGACAAACCCGCGAAGAGGCCAACUUAAGGUGCAAAAGGACUUAUAUGUCCACCUUAAUAUUGGAAGACUUAUAUGUCCACAAAAUGUGGCUUAACUAUCGGAGAGAUCACUCUCAAAACGGCUCGACUAUCGGAGAGAUUACUCUCAAUGUGGCCUGACUAUCGGAGAGAUUACUUUCAAAACGGCCCAACUAUCGGAGAGAUUACUCUCAAUGUGGCCUGACUAUCGGAGAGAUUACUCUCAAAACGACCCGACUUUCGGCAAUGCUAACUUAAGGUGCAAAGGGACUCAUAUGUCCACUUUAAGAUUGGAAAGUUAUAUAGCUUCAACUUGAAGACGACCUCAACUUGAACACUUGGAAAACUUUGAAGAUUUGGCGGACUUUGCAGACUUCAACUCGAAGAUUUGGAGGGCUUAAACAAUUCAACUUUAAGACCGACGAAUUUGAAGACUGAAACUUGAAGACCGACGAACUUGAAGACUUCAACUUUGGAAUUGAAGAGCCUAAAUAUUUCAGCUUGAAGAUCGGCG